rfam:Ornithorhynchus anatinus chromosome 4, whole genome shotgun sequence.
AGCAGCGUGGCUCAGUGGAAAGAGCCCGGGCUUGGGACUCAGAGGUCAUGGGUUCGAAUCCCAGCUCUGCCA